UGGAGAGUUGUCCGAGUUGGCCGAAGGAGCAGCAUUGGAAAUGCUGUAUACGGGUUAAAGCCUGUAUCAAGGGUUCGAAUCCCUUACUCUCCGU
rnacentral:tRNA from 1 species